GGGAUGAGUCCGCGUUCCAUUAGCUUGUUGGUGAGGUAACGGCUCACCAAGGCUGCGAUGGAUAGCCGGCCUGAGAGGGUGAACGCCCACACUGGGACUGAGAUACGGCCCAGACUCCUACGGGAGGCAGCAGUAGGGAAUAUUGCGCAAUGGACGAAAGUCUGACGCAGCAACGCCGCGUGGGUGAUGAAGCAUCUUGGUGCGUAAAACCCUGUCAGUGGGGAAGAACCGUGCAGAUAGUAACUGCUCUGCACCUGACGGUACCCACAGAGGAAGUCCCGGCUAACUCCGUGCCAGCAGCCGCGGUAAUACGGGGGGGACAAGCGUUGUUCGGAUUUACUGGGCGUAAAGGGCGCGUAGGUGGACCUUCAAGUCGGUUGUGAAAACUGGUGGCUUAACUGCCAGCCUGCACUCGAAACUGUCGGUCUUGAGUACAUGAGAGGAAAGCGGAAUUCCAGGUGUAGCGGUGAAAUGCGUAGAUAUCUGGAAGAACACCAGUAGCGAAGGCGGCUUUCUGGCGUGAUACUGACACUGAAGCGCGAAGGCUAGGGGAGCAAACAGGAUUAGAUACCCUGGUAGUCCUAGCGGUAAACGAUGGGUACUAGGUGUCGGGGGAACAUUGACCCCCUCGGUGCCGAAGCUAACGCAUUAA
rnacentral:rRNA from 1 species